UGCGUCUAUGUAAUUCCAAGGGUAUGUGUCGAAUCUUCUUUGUCAUCGGACCUUUGCCAUGUCAGGUGCGCUUGCUUGGCAGGUCAA